AUUGAACGCUGGCGGCAGGCCUAACACAUGCAAGUCGAGCGGAUGAAGGGAGCUUGCGCCUGGAUUCAGCGGCGGACGGGUGAGUAAUGCCUAGGAAUCUGCCUGGUAGUGGGGGAUAACGUCCGGAAACGGGCGCUAAUACCGCAUACGUCCUGAGGGAGAAAGUGGGGGAUCUUCGGACCUCACGCUAUCAGAUGAGCCUAGGUCGGAUUAGCUAGUUGGUGGGGUAAAGGCCUACCAAGGCGACGAUCCGUAACUGGUCUGAGAGGAUGAUCAGUCACACUGGAACUGAGACACGGUCCAGACUCCUACGGGAGGCAGCAGUGGGGAAUAUUGGACAAUGGGCGAAAGCCUGAUCCAGCCAUGCCGCGUGUGUGAAGAAGGUCUUCGGAUUGUAAAGCACUUUAAGUUGGGAGGAAGGGCAGUAAGUUAAUCCCUUGCUGUUUUGACGUUACCAACAGAAUAAGCACCGGCUAACUUCGUG
rnacentral:rRNA from 1 species